AGUGAACGCUGGCGGUAGGCCUAACACAUGCAAGUCGAACGGCAGCACAGUAAGAGCUUGCUCUUACGGGUGGCGAGUGGCGGACGGGUGAGGAAUACAUCGGAAUCUACUUUUUCGUGGGGGAUAACGUAGGGAAACUUACGCUAAUACAGCAUACGACCUACGGGUGAAAGCAGGGGAUCUUCGGACCUUGCGCGAUUGAAUGAGCCGAUGUCGGAUUAGCUAGUUGGCGGGGUAAAGGCCCACCAAGGCGACGAUCCGUAGCUGGUCUGAGAGGAUGAUCAGCCACACUGGAACUGAGACACGGUCCAGACUCCUACGGGAGGCAGCAGUGGGGAAUAUUGGACAAUGGGCGCAAGCCUGAUCCAGCCAUACCGCGUGGGUGAAGAAGGCCUUCGGGUUGUAAAGCCCUUUUGUUGGGAAAGAAAAGCAGCAGGUUAAUACCCCGCUGUUCUGACGGUACCCAAUGAAUAAGCACCGGCUAACUUCGUG
rnacentral:rRNA from 1 species